rnacentral:rRNA from 1 species
AUUGAACGCUGGCGGAGUGCUUUACACAUGCAAGUCGAACGGCAGCACGGACUUCGGUCUGGUGGCGAGUGGCGAACGGGUGAGUAAUGUAUCGGAACGUGCCCAGUCGUGGGGGAUAACGUAGUGAAAAUUACGCUAAUACCGCAUACGAUCUAUGGAUGAGAGCGGGGGAUCGCAAGACCUCGCGCGAUUGGAGCGGCCGAUAUCAGAUUAGGUAGUUGGUGGGGUAAAGGCCCACCAAGCCAACGAUCUGUAGCUGGUCUGAGAGGACGACCAGCCACACUGGAACUGAGACACGGUCCAGACUCCUACGGGAGGCAGCAGUGGGGAAUUUUGGACAAUGGGCGAAAGCCUGAUCCAGCCAUUCCGCGUGCAGGAUGAAGGCCCUCGGGUUGUAAACUGCUUUUGUACAGAACGAAAAGGUUUCUACUAAUACUAGGAGCUCAUGACGGUACUGUAAGAAUAAGCACCGGCUAACUACGUGCCAGCCGCCGCAGUAA